rnacentral:rRNA from 1 species
UACAGAGGUCUCAAGCGUUGUUCGGAUUCAUUGGGCGUAAAGGGUGCGUAGGCGGCGCGCUAAGUCGGGUGUGAAAUUUCGGAGCUUAACUCCGAAACUGCAUUCGAUACUGGCGUGCUUGAGGACUGGAGAGGAGACUGGAAUUUACGGUGUAGCAGUGAAAUGCGUAGAUAUCGUAAGGAAGACCAGUGGCGAAGGCGGGUCUCUGGACAGUUCCUGACACUGAGACACGAAGGCCAGGGGAGCAAACGGG